UACGGGGGGGGUAAGCGUUGUUUGGAAUUACUGGGCGUAAAGGGCUCGUAGGCGGCCAACUAAGUCGGACGUGAAAUCCCUCAGCUUAACUGGGGAACUGCGUCCGAUACUGGAUGGCUUGGAUUUGGGAGAGGGAUGCGGAAUUCCAGGUGUAGCGGUGAAAUGCGUAGAUAUCUGGAGGAACACCGGUGGCGAAGGCGGCAUCCUGGACCAACAUUGACGCUGAGGAGCGAAAGCUAGGGGAGCAAACGGG
rnacentral:rRNA from 1 species